GCCAGUGUAGUGUAGUGGUUUGAGUGUUGAACUAUGAUUCUGGAGACUAGGGCUCGAAUCCCUGCUCAGCCA
rnacentral:tRNA from 1 species